rnacentral:rRNA from 1 species
GCUAGCUACAGGCUUAACACAUGCAAGUCGAGGGGCAUCAGGAAGAAAGCUUGCUUUCUUUGCUGGCGACCGGCGCACGGGUGAGUAACACGUAUCCAACCUGCCCUUUACUCGGGGAUAGCCUUUCGAAAGAAAGAUUAAUACCCGAUGGCAUAAUGAUUCCGCAUGGUUUCAUUAUUAAAGGAUUCCGGUAAAGGAUGGGGAUGCGUUCCAUUAGGUUGUUGGUGAGGUAACGGCUCACCAUGCCUUCGAUGGAUAGGGGUUCUGAGAGGAAGGUCCCCCACAUUGGAACUGAGACACGGUCCAAACUCCUACGGGAGGCAGCAGUGAGGAAUAUUGGUCAAUGGGCGCUAGCCUGAACCAGCCAAGUAGCGUGAAGGAUGAAGGCUCUAUGGGUCGUAAACUUCUUUUAUAUAAGAAUAAAGUGCAGUAUGUAUACUGUUUUGUAUGUAUUAUAUGAAUAAGGAUCGGCUAACUCCGUGCCAGCAGCCGCGGUAAUACGGAGGAUCCGAGCGUUAUCCGGAUUUAUUGGGUUUAAAGGGAGCGUAGGUGGACUGGUAAGUCAGUUGUGAAAGUUUGCGGCUCAACCGUAAAAUUGCAGUUGAUACUGUCAGUCUUGAGUACAGUAGAGGUGGGCGGAAUUCGUGGUGUAGCGGUGAAAUGCUUAGAUAUCACGAAGAACUCCGAUUGCGAAGGCAGCUCACUGGACUGCAACUGACACUGAUGCUCGAAAGUGUGGGGUAUCAAACAGGAUUAGAUACCCUGGUAGUCCACACAGUAAACGAUGAAUACUCGCUGUUUGCGAUAUACAGUAAGCGGCCAAGCGAAAGCAUUAAGUAUUCCACCUGGGGAGUACGCCGGCAACGGUGAAACUCAAAGGAAUUGACGGGGGCCCGCACAAGCGGAGGAACAUGUGGUUUAAUUCGAUGAUACGCGAGGAACCUUACCCGGGCUUAAAUUGCAGUGGAAUGAUGUGGAAACAUGUCAGUGAGCAAUCACCGCUGUGAAGGUGCUGCAUGGUUGUCGUCAGCUCGUGCCGUGAGGCGUCGGCUUAAGUGCCAUAACGAGCGCAACCCUUAUCUUUAGUUACUAACAGGUCAUGCUGAGGACUCUAGAGAGACUGCCGUCGUAAGAUGUGAGGAAGGUGGGGAUGACGUCAAAUCAGCACGGCCCUUACGUCCGGGGCUACACACGUGUUACAAUGGGGGGUACAGAAGGCAGCUAGCGGGUGACCGUAUGCUAAUCCCAAAAGCCUCUCUCAGUUCGGAUCGAAGUCUGCAACCCGACUUCGUGAAGCUGGAUUCGCUAGUAAUCGCGCAUCAGCCACGGCGCGGUGAAUACGUUCCCGGGCCUUGUACACACCGCCCGUCAAGCCAUGGGAGCCGGGGGUACCUGAAGUACGUAACCGCAAGGAUCGUCCUAGGGUAAAACUGGUGACUG